GGGGAAUAUUGGGCAAUGGACGCAAGUCUGACCCAGCAACGCCGCGUGAAGGAAGAAGGCUUUCGGGUUGUAAACUUCUUUUAAGGGGGAAGAGUAGAAGACGGUACCCCUUGAAUAAGCCACGGCUAACUACGUGCCAGCAGCCGCGGUAAUACGUAGGUGGCAAGCGUUGUCCGGAAUUACUGGGUGUAAAGGAUGCGUAGGCGGAUAUGUAAGUCAGAUGUGAAACCCCCGGGCUUAACCCGGGGCAUGCAUUUGAGACUGCAUAUCUAGAGUGCAGGAGAGGAAAGCGGAAUUCCUAGUGUAGCGGUGAAAUGCGUAGAUAUUAGGAAGAACACCAGUGGCGAAGGCGGCUUUCUGGACUGUAACUGACGCUGAUGCAUGAAAGCGUGGGGAGCAAACA
rnacentral:rRNA from 1 species